UCCUCCCUUCCUCACACAUCCUCACCAAAUCGUUUUUCCUCGUCUGCACUUUCUAAGUAUGUUUUCUAAGAACAAAAUGCACAUGAUCUUCUCAGACUUCAUCAUCUCUUCUGGAGCACACACAUUCUACAUGGUGAAAAUGAGAACAUGUAGGGGAGAAAAACACUCAACCCUCAAAACAGAGACUCUUUCUAUGGGAAUCGGCGCUCAUCUUGUACAAUGUGCGUGUCACUGUUGCAGUAUUAAUCGAGCUGUCGAGGUUGGGCGAUGUUGGAGAACUGGAGAUACACACAGCAAGGAGGAAGUGAAGCACGCUGGCGUGACUCUGCGUUUCGGUGCGUCCUAAAACCUUUCACUACCUACGUAGCGCCCUGCUUCAAUCCCUAGGGUGCUGUGUAAAUGGAGAGAUCUCAGACUCGUGGACUUCUGUAAACGUCGAGGGAAAAGGCAGGGCCAAACUGAGGGCUAAACUCAUCAGGAACCAUGAGACAUGGUCGGUGGGUUCUGCUACAUGAUUUGAGUAUAACCAAAACUAGGAAAUCAGAGAGCUGCUUGGAGCUCAGAAGGUAAUCAGUGGAAGGUGGUCUACAGGAGAUUGAGAUUGUUAACGUCUCAGUUUAUAGGGUUUAUAUUCCUUCAUUCCCCAUCCCAACCACUGCUGUCACUUGUAGGGAAUUGUAGAGUUGACACUAAACUCCUCUGAGUUCUUUACAGUUUUUUUUUUGAAGGAUGUGAGGUGAUGAAACCGCUACAGUAGCUAAGACCAGGAUUCCAAAGGCAAGAUUUUAAUAAAUCUUAGUUUUCAUUCUCUGAGUUUUCAUUCAUGGCCAAUAGACCCAUUUUGUGGAAAAUAAUGGCUCGGAGUUGAUACCAAGCUCCACUGGUUCUUGACUCCAGGAACACUCUAGUAUUCUUUGCCAAUUUUGAGUCUAUGAAUUUACCUGGACACUUCAGUAGCUUUGUGCAGGAACCCCAAAGACAUACUGUAUAUUGUAUUUAUUUAUUUUUGUUCCUGCCCCAUUUCCUUUUUAGUGAGAAGGCAAGAUGUACGUUACAUGCCUUAUGUAAAGAGCAAAGGAAAUUUUUCAAACGUAUGAGCUGAAGUGACUCCAGUCGCUGGCGGCAGUAAUUCAGGGGUAAGUCUUAGCUUAGAGUUUUUGUUCUUGGCCCAUUGCAUGCACAAGGCAAGAGCUUUGUUUCAGUCCUGUGUAAAUGAAGUGAGUAGACUUGACUGAGUUCCCCUGACUUACUUGAAUCCCCGCCAGCUCCCUCCCAUUUCUAUAAUUCUGUACAGUUUUGUUAGGAUACAGGGUUGCUCGAGUCACCGCUUGCAGUAAUCUAGAGGCGAAGUUUUUCUUUUCAAUCGAGGGUUUUUGUUCCUGACCUAUUCCACAGUCUCGGGGAGAUAACGAGACUUUUGUUUCCGGUCCUGUGUAAACGGAGGGACCAUUUGACUAAAGUCUUCACUGGCACCAUGUGCCUCCAGCCGACUUCCUAAAAUUCUUUGGAAUUUUUCAAGAAUGUGAGGUUAAAAGAUUGCUCCAGUGGCAUCUGGAGCUAGGCGCAGUUUAGAGUUUUAAUUCUUGCCCCAUUCCAUCACCUUUGGAGGGAAAGCCAGACCUUUUGUUGACACCAAGCUCCACUUGUGCUUGACCUAGUCAGCUCACUCCUAUUACAAGAAAUAUUUGGGUGGUUGUGAGGUUAUAAGCUUGUUAUUAGGCUACAGUAGUGCUGGAAAUAGAUGUUCUCCCCUGCACCAUCCCACCCACCCACUUGGAAGGAAGUCAAGACCUUUGUUUCAACACUGGUGCUUGAUCUAUCCAGCUCAUUCCCGUUCCAAGAAUUCCAAAAGAAAUUGGUGGUUUGUGAGGCCAUAAGAGUGUUAUAAUCCACAGUAGUCCUGGCCUUUUUUCUUUUCACUAUCCCACCCAUUUGGAGGGAAGGCAAGAUCUUUGUUUCACCACUGGCGCUUGACACCAUCCAGCUCAUUCCCAUUUAUUGAGGAUGCAGGUGACACCUGGUUAUUGUAAACUAAGGGCAUGUUUUUCCCCCUGGAACCCACUUGAAGGAAAGCCUGACCAUAUUUUUAUCCAAUGGUUCGUUUGAAUUUUUGUUGGGAACAAAGCUAACACCAGUCUCUAAUGGCACUUGAGUGCAUUCUCAUUGAUCCGCAAAUUAUCAUGUUUCAUAUUUUCCCGAGGUUUAUUAGGUAUUCAAUUGUCUUUUUUUUUUUCCACACGGUUGAAAUGCCAUGAGUGGACUAUAGGCAGAAACCAUUCUGGAAUUGAUUGGACCAUUUUUAAAAGGCAAAUCCCUCAGACAACCAUCAAGACAAAUGCCUGUUCAGCCAGUGAAGUCCACACUUGACUGGGUGCUACUUCCAUUCUGAUGCGAACAUGUUGCGGUUUUCGAGGUGCUACGUAGGCUUUAUGAAGAUGCAAACCUGCUCAUAAAGACAGGAUCUGGAUCAGAGCUCACAAGAACUUUUUAGAAACAUGCUUCUGAGACUCCGGUGGUGAAGGAACGAGUUAACCAAGCCGAAGGCCGCCAAGCUGAGUAGAGCUCGAGCGGUGAGAAGUCACCUUUAUCGUUUAUUUUAAAUCACUGAGUUAAGCUGAUCACAUUGAUCAGUAGUUUAGGACUGAUAUUCUUUGAGGGGGGGCGGGGAGGGGGGAGAUCGCAGUGUUUUCCACUGUACCCUGUAAUAUUCUCACGUCAACAUUUCUUUCUCUUCUUGCUGUAAGUUUUCCUUUUGUUUUUUUGUAAUGGUUGCCGUCGUUUAAAAAAAAAUUAAUAAAUUAAAAAAAAAUAUAAAAAAAUUUAAAAAAAGAAUGAUCACAUUUGUAACACAGUGGUUCUAUAAAUCAUUCACCUCCGUUUGAAUUUUUGAAACUAGUCAUGCUUUUUCCGCCGAGCCGAGUGGAGUCCUCUGUCGAGAAAAUAAGUUGCACAAACUGUACAAGCAUAAGAUAAACCGUAGUAGUUAGCACUGCUACUUUGUUCGAUGUGUGAUGUCAAGUGAGAAGUGUACAUUUAGCUGGUGAAGAUUCUCUCAUUCUUGACUACUUUUACCUGUACGUCUUUUACAAAGACAAUUGGUGGAGUAUGUAUUGGUUGUUAUUUUCUGUCUUUUUUUAUUUUAUUUUAUUUUAUUUUAUUUUAUUUUUUCCUUUUUCUUUUUUUUUUUUUUCUUUUUGUAUUUUUAAUACAAUAAUUGUAAAUAUUGGUUAUAUUUUUGUUGAACUGUAGAAAUGUACUAUGUUUAUGCCUCAACAUCCAGUUUAUACGAAGCUGGUAAUCAAUAAAUGCGAGAAAAAGAAAUCGACUUGUAGGUUUCAAAUGCACCUUUUCGUUCUUUUUUUUUUUUUUUUUCCCCCCCACCGGUCAACGCGUUCUCUUUGGAAAAUUGUUACUUUAAAUAAAUGACACCGUAUAAUGUUUGCACAAGAUGAGACAUGGAAUUAACUUGAAAUGUGUAUCGUUUUUCUAAACUGACACAUCUGUCAGAAUGAAUAAAAAGACACUGAUGCCUA